UUCUGACAAGGAAGCCAAAAAUAUUAAUGUUGAGUUUCUCAUAUUUAAGUAAAGAAAUGGCAAAUCCAUAAAAACAUGUAAAGAAAGAUGGCAGAUUGGUUAAUUCAGGUGUUUUUUUAACAGCUCAUUUGUUAACUGAAAGUUGAGGAAAUAUAAAGAAUAAAAAAA